CCAGCUCCAAUAGCGUAUAUUAAAGUUGUUGUGGUUAAAACGCCCGUAGUUGGUUUUUCGGUCUCGAAGCUUGGUAGCUCGUAUGGGCUUAACUGAGUCUUCCGGCCUAAAUUUCUUGUACUCUCCCGAUGCUCUUUAUUGAGUGUCUCGAGAUGCUAGAACGUUUACUUUGAAAAAAUUAGAGUGCUAAAAGCAGGCUAUACGCUUGAAUAAAGUGCAUGGAAUAAUGGAAUAGGACUUUAGUUUUAUUUUGUUGGUUUUCGAAAUUAAAGUAAUGAUUAAGAGGAACAGACGGGGGCAUUCGUAUUGUUGCGUUAGAGGUGAAAUUCUUGGAUCGCAGCAAGACGAACAACUGCGAAAGCAUUUGCCAAGAAUGUUUUCAUUAAUCAAGGACGAUAGUUAGAGGUUCGAAGGCGAUCAGAUACCGCCCUAGUUCUAACCGUAAACUAUGCCAACUAGCGAUCCGUCGGUGUUAAAUAUUGACUCGACGGGCAGCUUCCGGGAAACCAAAGUUUAUAGGUUCCGGGGGAAGUAUGGUUGCAAAGCUUAAACUUAAAGGAAUUGACGGAAGGGCACCACCAGGAGUGGAGCCUGCGGCUUAAUUCGACUCAAC
rnacentral:rRNA from 1 species